GACGAACGCUGGCGGCGUGCCUAAUACAUGCAAGUCGAGCGGGCGGAACUAACAGAUUUACUUCGGUAAUGACGUUAGGAAAGCGAGCGGCGGAUGGGCGAGUAACACGUGGGGAACCUGCCCCAUAGUCUGGGAUACCACUUGGAAACAGGUGCUAAUACCGGAUAAGAAAGCAGAUCGCAUGAUCAGCUUUUAAAAGGCGGCGUAAGCUGUCGCUAUGGGAUGGCCCCGCGGUGCAUUAGCUAGUUGGUAAGGUAAAGGCUUACCAAGGCGAUGAUGCAUAGCCGAGUUGAGAGACUGAUCGGCCACAUUGGGACUGAGACACGGCCCAAACUCCUACGGGAGGCAGCAGUAGGGAAUCUUCCACAAUGGACGAAAGUCUGAUGGAGCAACGCCGCGUGAGUGAAGAAGGUUUUCGGAUCGUAAAGCUCUGUUGUUGGUGAAGAAGGAUAGAGGUAGUAACUGGCCUUUAUUUGACGGUAAUCAACCAGAAAGUCACGGCUAACUACGUG
rnacentral:rRNA from 1 species